GACGAACGCUGGCGGCGUGCCUAAUACAUGCAAGUCGAACGCAGUGGGGACGGGUGAUUAACACGUGGGUAACCUCCCAUCAGAGGGGAUAACACUUGGCAACAGGUGCUAAACCGAUACUGAUGGAUGGACCCGCGGUGCAUUAGCUAGUGGGUGGGGUAACGGCCAACCAAGGCCACGAUGCAUAGCCGGCCUGAGAGGUUGAUCGGCCACACUGGAACUGAGACACGGCCCAGACUCCUACGGGAGGCAGCAGUAGGGAAUAUUCGGCAAUGGGCGAAAGUCUGACGGAGCAACGCCGCGUGAGUGAAGAAGGUUUUCGGGUCGUAAAACUCUGUUGUUGGAGAGGCGGUAUCUAACCAGGAAGCAACGGCUAACUACGUGCCAGCAGCCGCGGUAAUUC
rnacentral:rRNA from 1 species